CCUACGGGAGGCAGCAGUGGGGAAUAUUGCACAAUGUGGGAAACCCUGAUGCAGCGACGCCGCGUGAGUGAAGAAGUAUUUCGUUAUGUAAAGCUCUAUCAGCAGGGAAGAGAAUGACGGGUACUGAGUAAGAAACCCCCGCUAAAUACGUGCCAGGCGCCGCGGGAAUACGUAGGGGGCAAGCGUUAUCCGGAUUUACUGGGGGUAAAGGGAGCGUAGACGGCAAGGCAAGUCUGGAGUGAAAGGCCGGGGCUCAACCCCCGGACUGCUUUGGAAACUGUACGGCUGGAGUGCAGGAGAGGUAAGUGGAAUUCCGAGUGUAGCGGUGAAAUGCGUAGAUAUUAGGAGGAACACCAGUGGCGAAGGCGGCUUACUGGACUGUAACUGACGUUGAGGCUCGAAAGCGUGGGGAGCAAACAGGAUUAGAUACCCGUGUAGUC
rnacentral:rRNA from 1 species